GAGAGAGAGAGAGAGAGAGAGAGAGAGAGAGAGAGAGAGAGAGAGAAACAGCUGAUUAUGUGUAGAGCAGGUGGUAAGAAAAAUGGCAGUAAAACAGCAUAUGACCAUGGGACCCCAAGAGAGGUCAUGACUGCUGGCGCGGAUGUUGAUCCUUCAGUAAUUAAUGGAGUUCAGUGACCUGAGAAAGAUAGCUCAGUCAUGCUUCCCACCCUGGUACUCAUGGCAGCUGGGGGCCCAGGGCUGCUUUAAACUCGAGUGAGAGAAUCUUAUACUAGUGCAAACAUUUACACAGUACAAGGUAUUUAUCUUGGCUCCAGAGAAACACAGGCAUCUUUUGGAGUUCACCUACUCUUAAAAACAGGUUUAAACUUGGGAUAUUGACUUGUUGAGAUGAACUCAUAUUUGUGGUGAUUCAAUUUUUUUGUUUUGUUUUUACCAAUAGAAAACAUUGCAACUUUAACCCCUAUUUCCUUGCAGCAUUUUGGUGGGUAAGGAGGAAGGUGGGGUGGAGGAAUAGCUCCCAGAUCAGCCUGGCCUUUAUGCAUUCCUUAAUAAUAAUAUCAUAUUGUUUAGACUGACCAGCAAGGGAUCAUCACUCCGACAGCCUUCCCACAAAACAGUGACCUUUAAAUAGGGGUCAUACAAGUUUCUUUUCCUCCAGAACUUUAGACUCUCCUAACUUCUCCCAAUGUCUCCAUUGAAGUCCUGAGAGAUGUUGGCAGGAAAAGAGAGAAUGCAUUAUUAUCGCCCCAUUAAUGUCACCUGACUAAUAAUCAACUUUCCUUUGGAUAUUACUGGGAGUCCUUAUAUCAGGAAAGUCAAGAGUCUAACAAGCUGUGUCUAGGUAGCAAAUUGUUUCUUAGUUUGCCACUGUUCCACUUAAAAAGAUGUAAUUUGUCAAAUGAUGUUGCCAAUGAUGAACACUUUCUGCAUAAUCUUUCCUGGAGAAGAUAUUUUUUUCCCUUUCUGAUAUAUGAAGUCUUUUUGUUAGGAUUGAGAAGUUUUCAUCCUUCUAAUGACGUCCAUUCACCUUCGACUCAUUUGUCACUCAUCAAGAAAAGCAUUCCAUUUUUAAAAAAUAUACUCCAGUUCCUAUGCCCGAGGAGUUUAGAGUACCCUCAAACGAUGGGUCAUCAUCCAAGUCAUCAAGAUCCCUCAUCAUCCAUCUGUAGGGUUGGUUCACUAGAGUGAAAGAUAGACCCUUGGCUUCUUUAUACUAGACGGAAUAGAAAUAUCAUCUACAGAGGCCUCUCCAGGUUCCUUUAUGAAUCAUCUCUUCCCUUGCUCCGAGAUAAAUGAAUAAUUGACUUUGGAAUGAAUGAACCCAAGAUAAAAGGGUUUAAGUAUCUGUAUAUUAAAAAUUAGGGUCAAUGAUCCUUCAAGGAUAGAAAGGAAGUAUGUACAGUAGAGUCAAUAAUAAUGCAAAAAGAUUUCUAGACUGUUUCUCAAGAAGCAUCUGAGAAUUUAGUGACACUAGCAAGCAUUAUAAUGGAUCUCAUUGUGUAGGCAACAAAGUUAUAAUUCUAUAAAGAAUCAUAGGGGAAAUUAUUUUUCAUAUGCAAUGAAAGGACCCUUGUGCAGUAACUCAACAUAUGCACAAACUAAAAUUUCCCUAUCGUUUUGAGCUAUGAAGUCUUUGACUUCCCCACUUACAGUGAUUUUCCUUUUUGAAUUGUACUGAUCUGGACGUCCUAGGCAAAUUAGGUAAUAGGUAUGCACAGACAUGGGAAUUAGGAGGAAGCCAAGCAAAAACAAUUCUUACCCUUCCAAUGUGCAUAUCACUGGUGCUUAAGAAAGCAUAUGCAGAAAAGGCCUACUUGGCCAAGGAGGUGUAGAUUUAUGGCUAUUAGGAGUUUACCUAUAGAACACAGGGUCUUUAAAGUUAAAGGCCUUUAAAUGACAACCAAGACAAUCAGGGAAUGCCAGAAAGCAGCAACUAGACCUUGGGCCUCUUCCACAUGAGGUUAUUUGGUCUGGAGAAGGAGCUUUAACUCUCCAACUCUGUUACUAGCCAUCACAUGGAGACUCUUUGUCUAUGAAAGGAGUCCCAUGCAGAAAGUCUUCUAGUAUAAUCCUGGAAAACGGUUUUAAACAAGUGAAAACUUUUGUCUUUAACCAUCUUUAAAUGAUUGACAAAUAAGAUCUUUACAGAGAACAGCAUGAGCUAAGUGCAAAAACAGGUUCCUACUGUUGCUCCACAAAAUAAAGAGCCAAUGGCUAGGGGGGGAUGGAAGCAUAGAUCAUUCCUGAGUCAGGAAGCUAGAGCUGCCUUCCAAGACUGUGUAGCAAUUCCUAUGUAAAGACCUAAAAAUACCGGAAGAUCGCUCUUCCCUUUGGAAACUAUAUUGACCAAAAGAAUCCAUCAAUAGUUUGUCAGUUGCAUCAAAUCCACCGACUGCAUUACGUUUUUUGUUUUUGUUUCUGUUAGACCUAUUUAUUAUGGCUAAACUCAAAGCAGUCUGAAGUUUCUUUGGUUUGCUUUGGUUUUGGGUUUUGGUUUGUUGUCAAAAAGAGUAACUUUUUAGUGUUAAAGAGAAGAGAAACAUCAAGAAACAAAUACUUAUGCUAAAUGUGGAUAGUAAGACAACAGCUGUUCUGAACAUAUACUACUUUUUUUUCUGUUGUGAUUUUGGUCACUUUAACUAAGUGGAAUGAGUCUCACACUUCAUAAUUGCUUUAGUUUGUUUGAAGAAUGAAAACCGUGAAUUAUAGUCAGAACUUUAAGUUGUUGUUUGAGUACCAGGACCCAGACUUUGACAGUAUCUAUCAUUCUACAGGUAUUCAAUGACUUAUAACAUUUAUUUUGAUGUUCAGUGGAUGUUAUACACCAAUUAGGCAUAAAAAUGACACAGGAAAGAUAUUUUAUAUGUAAGCUAAGAACUCAUCUAUGAACAGAACAUCAGAAUUGAUUGGAUAGAGUUAUUAAAAUUAUGAAAGCAGAUUUACAUUGAGGCUUUUCUUUGGUGGGGGAUCCACACGGCUUUUGUUUUGAAACAGAACCCUGCUAUCUAGCUCAGGUCAGCCCUGAAAUUAAAGCUAUCCUUUCACCUUGGCCACCCAAGACCUGGUGUUGCAGGCUCGAGUCACCAUAUCUUGUCAAACUCUAAAACUUGCAAAACAUUCUUUCAGGAGUUAGACAUUUCAGUGUGCUCUUGGUAAGGACACAUCUUUGUUGAAGGCCAGGUGCAGGACUCACUAUUUUAUCACCACUGGAGUUCUCUGUAUAAAGCUUCCAUUCAAAUAUUUGUUGAACCUAUAUCCCAUAUGGCAUUGUUUUACAAUUCAGAAAUCAACUCAUCUCUUCACGGGGAAGGUAGCACUCAGGAGAAGAUACAGCUUCUUGGGGCAUAAACAACACAUUUCCUACAGCAUUGACAUAUGCCCUAGCCUCUUUGAAACUAAUCACAGACAUCAUGACCUGAAAGAGAAUGGUUAUUUCAGCAAAUUUCGAGGAUAUUAUCUUGACACAAGCUUAAACAGCUAACUAAGUCAUUCAUGAGAAAAGAUCCACAGGACCCAAGAUAUUAUUUUAUUUUUUAACUAUACUUUUAAAAAAAAGACUGUAAUGGGGAAACUACUUUUUUUCCCAAGAAUGAGGAGGUGAAAGUAGAGAGGAAACGACAGCUUCAGAAUGAGAAACUUUAGCUGAACCUGCACCAAGAAGGUUGCGUGUUUUUGCUGAAAUGCUCAUUUGUUGAUGCUGUAAUUAAGACGGCCACUGGUGACUCCACUGAGGCCUCGGCCUCUUGUUUGUAAAGUUAUGAAAUCUCAGACUGGAUGACGUUAACACUUCAGUCAAGCAGUCGAAACUUCUGUUCUCCACAGUUUGGAACUGUUCCCAAGAUGGCUCUGUAAGAGAGGAGAAGUGACUGUGAGCAAAAGAGAAAUGGAUACACGCCUCAUAAAAGGAGAGAGGGUUGCUGACCUAUAAGUUUGUUACCUUGUCGAAAA
rnacentral:sRNA from 1 species